AUUGAACGCUGGCGGCAUGCCCUACACAUGCAAGUCGAACGGUAACAGGUUAAGCUGACGAGUGGCGAACGGGUGAGUAAUAUAUCGGAACGUGCCCAGUCGUGGGGGAUAACGUAGCGAAAGCUACGCUAAUACCGCAUACGAUCUACGUAUGAAAGCGGGGGAUCGAAAGACCUCGGGCGAUUGGAGCGGCCGAGAUCCGAUUAGGUUGUUGGUGAGGUAAAAGAUCACCAAGACUGCGAUCUGUAGCUGGUAUGAGAGGACGACCAGCCACCAUGGAACUUAGAUACGGUCCAGACUCCUACGGGAGGCAGCAGUGGGGAAUUUUGGACAAUGGACGCAAGUCUGAUCCAGCAAUGCCGCGUGCAGGACGAAGGCCUUCGGGUUGUAAACUGCUUUUGUACGGAACGAAACGGUGAGCUCUAAUACAGUUUGCUAAUGACGGUACCGUAAGAAUAAGCACCGGCUAACUACGUGCCAGCCGCCGCCGUAA
rnacentral:rRNA from 1 species